rnacentral:tRNA from 1 species
UGGGAUUUAGCUCAGUGAUACAGUGCCUGCCUGGCAAGCAUGAGGUUCUGAGUUCAAUUCCCAGUAUUCUUC